rnacentral:rRNA from 1 species
AGUAGCUGCGAGCGAACAGGGAAGAGCCCAGCACCGAAUCCCGCAGGCCUGGCCUGUAGGGAAAUGUGGUGUUAGGGAGGACCCACUUAUCCUGGGUUGUCAUGGCGAGUCCAAGUCCAUCUUGAAUGGGGCCACAGCCCAGAGAGGGUGCCAGGCCCGUAGUGACCGCUGUGCAGCUCGGGAGGGUCUCUCCUCAGAGUCGGGUUGCUUGAGAGUGCAGCCCUAAGUGGGUGGUAAACUCCAUCUAAGGCUAAAUAUGACCACGAGACCGAUAGCGAACAAGUACCGUGAGGGAAAGUUGAAAAGAACUUUGGAGAGAGAGUUCAAGAGUACGUGAAACCGUUCAGGGGUAAACGGGAGAAAUCCUGAAUUCGAAUGGGACUGAGGAUUCAGGGUCAUCUGGUUGUGCCAGGCUUGCUUGCCCCACCAGAUGUUGCUGGUCGCCCGCUGCGAUUCGCGUCGUGUGCGGUGUCGUUCCCGGCGAUCACUCGGUGGGGUGCUUGCUCUGCCUUCUGGGGUCUUGCACUUCCUCCCUAGUAGAAACGUCGCGACCCGUUGGGUGUCGGUCAAAGGCCUGGGAAGGCAGCCCGUGCAUCCUGCGUUGUGUACGCAGGUGUGCGGACUCUCGGUGUCCCGGCCGGCUGCUCGACGGUAUGAUCAGAGGAGUCGAUCCGCUGAAAUGGAAGCACUAUGGUUGUGUAGCGUCCGGCCUGGCGCCGACGCGUGUGGGGUGGUGGUCUCGGCUGCAGGUAACCGUGCUCUGCACGGUCCUGACCCCACUGCGUUGUCGGUUUGCUGGUGUCCUUGGACUGGAUCGCCACUCCCGUCAGCGACGCCCAAUCUUCGGAUGGUCUCCCGACCCGUCUUGAAACACGGACCAAGGAGUCUAACAUGUGCGCGAGUCAUUGGGUGUGAAACCUAAAGGCGCAAUGAAAGUGAAGGCCGCUAUGGUGGGCGGCCGAGGGAAGAUGGUACUGGAAGUCAUGGAUCCUGGUGGUUCAUGUCCGGCCCGCAUUCCCGGGGCGUCUCAAUGGGUGAGACCUCCGGCUUGCUUGGGUUGUGAAGCCGGAGGCGGAUCUUGAGUGCCAAGUGGGCCACUUUUGGUAAGCAGAACUGGCGCUGUGGGAUGAACCAAACGCCGAGUUAAGGCGCCUGAAUCGACGCUCAUGGGAAACCAUGAAAGGCGUUGGUUGCUUAAGACAGCAGGACGGUGGCCAUGGAAGUCGGAAUCCGCUAAGGAGUGUGUAACAACUCACCUGCCGAAGCAACUAGCCCUGAAAAUGGAUGGCGCUGAAGCGUCGUGCCUAUACUCGGCCGUCAGUGGCAUUGGGAGUGGUCGGCACCUCGGUGUCGGCGCUCGAAGAAGCCCUGACGAGUAGGAGGGUCGCGGCGGUGAGCGCAGAAGGGCAGUGGCGUGAGCCUGCCUGGAGCCGCCGUCGGUGCAGAUCUUGGUGGUAGUAGCAAAUACUCCAGAGAGGCCCUGGAGGACUGAUGCGGAGCAGGGUUUCGUGUGAACAGCCGUUGCACACGAGUCAGUCGAUCCUAAGCCCUAUGUGAAAACUGAUGCCGAUGGGUGGUCGAAAGUGUGUUGGCCGAUACCCCCGGCGGGCGAAAGGGAAUCCGGUUCCUAUUCCGGAACCCGGCAGCGGAACCGUUCCGAUUCGGGCCCUCGCGAGAGUGUUCGUCGGGGUAACCCAAAAGGACCCGGAGACGCCGACGGGAGAUCUGGGGAGAGUUUUCUUUUCUGUAUGAGCGUUCGAGUUCCCUGGAAUCCUCUAGCAGGGAGAUAGGGUUUGGGACGCGAAGAGCACCGCAGUUGCGGCGGUGUCCAGAUCUUCCCCUCGGACCUUGAAAAUCCGGG